GAGCUCUGCAAAAUUGCCACUAGAUAAUGGUCCUCCUAGAGGGCAGGUUUUCCUAGAAUUUUAACAGUAGGGGUCAUAUGUGGUCGUUAGAAAAAAGCGUCUACUCAUUCAUUCAUUCAUCUCAUAAACAUUUCCUCGUUACUUAACUGUGUGUUGGAAAUUGCUACACAGAGGCUCACAGUCUCAUGAAGAAGGCAGUCACAUAUGGAUAACCUAGGCCAACAUACUGUAGCAUUAGAAGUUUGCUGACAGGGUUCUAUGGAAAUUUCUAGAAGGAAUUGCCUAAAACAACCUGGAAGGGUCAAGGACAGCUUCCUAAAUUGGUGGAUGAUACCUAAACCGAGUCUUAAAUGAUGAGCAAGAGUUAGCCAGACAAAUAAGGAAGGAGUGAGACACUCCAGGUUCAGGGACUGAAUGAGCCAAGUGACAGGGGUGAGAGGCAGCAUGUGGGUGACAGGAAAAAUUCACACCGCCUCUCAGAAGCCACGAGAGUGCUGUUUAAUUUAACCUGCCAAGCAUCAAUUACCAGUUUAAAAACUGAGCACCUACCGUGUACUGAGGCACUUGCAAACUGCGGCAGUUACAAAAUUGAAUAAGGCGUGAAGCCCACCCUCCAUGAAUUAACGAGCUUAUAAAUAUAAUUCUGUAGGAAAAAUAAUUAAAAUCAAAUGUAAAAAGCACCACCAUAGAGAUAUGAAAGACGGUCUGUGGAAGCCUCAAGGAAGAGGCCAAGACGCAGAUUGGUGACGGUUUUAUAAAGGAGAUGACUUUUGAGGCGGAUCUUGGCAAACGAAGAAUUCCUCAGGUAAAGUCAUGGAUUCCAGGCAGAGUGAAACUGGAGUACUCAUUUUCUUGAAGGAGGAAAGAAGGAUUGGAGUAGUGGGUUCGCCAAGAGAUGCUUGGGGUUCUUGGUUGGAGAACCACAAACUGACCUUUCAAAGGCCAGGGAACUUGUCUUGAAGUCAUGUUUCCAUAAUACUACUUUCAUGGAGUUGUUAUGUUUGUUUUGAGUGGCUUGCAAAGAAGUGCAAUUGGAGAUUGUGGGGGAAGUAAAAUCUGCCUUACUCCCUCGCCAUGGCUUGGCCCACCACAGAACUAGAAUUCUCUAGAGCUCUGGAACCAUCCUCGUCCCAGGACAGACAGCAAGGGCAUAUGCCGCUAACAAGCCUGGUUCCACAGCCCCUCACCAGGGUUCAGAGGGUCUCUGCAGUUUCUUACCUCUACUCUUGCUUCGUCUUCCCCAAGACAGGUCUUGAUAACAAACCCCUCCUUACAUAGUAAGGCUCCAGGCAGGAAUGCCAAUGGACACAGCACAGGAAUGCACAGGAAGCAGAAGCACUAGGAUUUAACUACCAUGCCCUGCACAGAUUCCUUAAUUCCUUCUUGGUGAUUCAGAGUAGAGUUUCCACUCUACAGAUUCUUGCUAUGUGGGAUUUUGGCUUUCCUGACCCAACAGUGCCUGUAAAGCCAUGGUACAGGAGAUCACUCUGAGGCGGGGGCAGCCACACUGAACUACUUGGGCAAGUUUCUUCACCUAUACGUGCCUCAGAUUCCCUAUCUGUAAAACGCAGGAUACACAGUUCGGACCGACCAACCAAAGCCAACACCUCAUGAAAGGGAAGAAACAGCACAUCACCCAUCAGAGAGGAGCUCACACGACUCUCACAGUCCCAGGACAACUGUUGGAGCUCCUGUUAGGCUUCCUCUUCAUGUGUGAAGAGGAGACCUCAGAGUUUCCUAGAGCAGCCUCUAAACAGACAAUAAAGACCAAUUGCUAAUCUGGAAAAUGUUAGGCAACCAUAUGUAGUAGGUAGGAAUGCCAGCUCACAAACUCAGGUGUGCAAAAGAAUACUGUAUCCUUUAUUUUAUAGAAAUCAGCCCAAUUUUUAUUUUAGCAUCUCCCUUACCCAAGGGCUGUUGUGAGACUUGUCCUUAUUCGUCCUCAGGGUUAAGCCUGGAUGGAUGAGUUGGUGAUGAGUAGGGACAUUUGGUCUUUGGUUCUGGGUACACCUAGGUUACACUGGAGAUGCCCAUCAUCCCUAUCUGCUUAGACCCUUAGGCAACAUCACCUGUGGCCCUAUCUGGUGAGACACCACACAAGAAUUCCUUUCUGAGGGUUUGGGCCCUUGUCAGGAUGCUACAGGGAAGCCAGGCUGAUCCCCACUGCGCCAGGGUGCCUGUACUCCACCUUUCUCUUCCUGUAGCCCAGGUCCUUGUGGACUGUGGGGAGGGCAUAGGUGAGCCCCACUCUCCCUUCUGCUUCUCUAGGUCACUCUGCCUCUGCCACUGAAUACCCUUCAUCCCUUUAGUUCUUCCACAAACCCAUAGACUCUCUGUAAGAGCUUACAAAGAAAGAGCCAGGUAUUCUUGACAGGAACCUCUGCUUUCUGCCUGCCACAUACCUUAUCUGUGCUGAUGAAGCGCAGAGUAAAUGGCCUGUGAGAAUGGGGCAAAGAGCAAAAGGAAAAUCAGAGACAGUGAAGAUAAAACAAAUAAAAUAAUGUCUCCAAAUAUUACUCAGUCAUACAAAGUCCCCAAAGCACAAGAUUCACAAUGGAUUUUCACGCUUUGCAGAGAUAGAGCACGGGGAGGGUUGCAGACCCACACGUAAUCCUCAUCAGCUCAGUCCCAAAACGUGGAUUGCAGUGCCCAGACCUUCUGUAUCUGGAGACCAUUUGUGGCCUGCUGCCUCUAGCCCAUAUUUAUAUUCCAGGGCUGGACCCAACUAGGGGACCAAACAGGGUACAAAUAACAGCUCAAUUGACACAGUGCCUCCCAUGCCUUUUUCUGGCAGGUAGCGGCCAUUUAAGGGCACCGUGCUGGGAAAAUCCACCCCUUUAUGCCAACUGAGUCCCUGUAUUUAGGGGUGAGAGAAGCUUUUACCAUUAUCACCUGCAAGAUGCAGACAGUGUUCCCGACUCUAGAAACAUAGUUAUUUGGCAUCUGCCUUUUACCCAGAGCUGAUGGAGGGAUGUGUUUUCUUUUUACAUCAAUGUACUUGACUGUUCUUGGUGUAAAAAGAUGACAGAUGCUGAUGCUAUUGCCAUCUGAGCAUGUGAGCACGACUGCGAGACCUGGGAGUGUUUGCUGGCAAGAGGCAAGUGCAUAAGCAUGUGCGUGCAUGCAUGCACACACACACACACACAGAGUCACUCACACACCCACACCCACAUAGUCACCCCCCAAACCACCCCCCCCCACAUACACACAGAGUCACACACCAGCACAUGCAGCUUCACCAGAUUAG
rnacentral:lncRNA from 1 species